AUUGAACGCUGGCGGCAGGCUUAACACAUGCAAGUCGAGCGGAGAUGAGGUGCUUGCACCUUAUCUUAGCGGCGGACGGGUGAGUAAUGCUUAGGAAUCUGCCUAUUAGUGGGGGACAACAUUCCGAAAGGAAUGCUAAUACCGCAUACGUCCUACGGGAGAAAGCAGGGGAUCUUCGGAACUUGCGCUAAUAGAUGAGCCUAAGUCGGAUUAGCUAGUUGGUGGGGUAAAGGCCUACCAAGGCGACGAUCUGUAGCGGGUCUGAGAGGAUGAUCCGCCACACUGGGACUGAGACACGGCCCAGACUCCUACGGGAGGCAGCAGUGGGGAAUAUUGGACAAUGGGGGGAACCCUGAUCCAGCCAUGCCGCGUGUGUGAAGAAGGCCUUAUGGUUGUAAAGCACUUUAAGCGAGGAGGAGGCUACUGAGACUAAUACUCUUGGAUAGUGGACGUUACUCGCAGAAUAAGCACCGGCUAACUCUGUGCCAGCAGCCGCAGUAA
rnacentral:rRNA from 1 species